AACAUCGCGCACCUGCGGGAACCUGCGGAAGGAUCAUUACGAGAGUGUCACCACUCCCAACCCAUUGUUUACCUACCCGUCCACCGUGCUUCGGCAGGCAGCCCUGUGGGACAGAGCCUCGCCCCCUUUCGCGGGGGGUGCCUGCCGCUUGCCAACCAAAACUCUAGCUGUUUUAGUACCAUCUGAGUCUUCCACAAAUGAACAAAACUUUCAACAAUGGAUCUCAGAUCGGAAGAGCAC
rnacentral:misc_RNA from 1 species